rnacentral:rRNA from 1 species
GACGAACGCUGGCGGCGUGCUUAACACAUGCAAGUCGAGCGAAAAGACCCGGCGUUUGUUCGUUUCUCGUUUGGCGAACAGGGGAGUAACACAUGAGUAACCUCCCCUUAACUUUCUGGGAACUUCACGAGACUCGGGCGAAUACAGGGUAUAAUCUCCUGCUGCGUAUGGUUGGUUGGAGAAUGUCGGCUGUUGUGGAUCGACUCGAGGCUUAUCAGCUGGUUUGGGGAGUAGUUGCUUACGAAGCCUUUGACGGGUAGCCGGCCUGAGAGGGUGAACGGGCACCAUGGGACUGCGAUACGGACCAGAAUCGUAUGGGAGGCAGUAGUGGGGAAUCUUGCACAAUGGGGGGACGCGUGAUGCAGAAAUGUCGAGUGCGGGAAGAUGGGUUUUGGGUUGUAAACAGAUUUGGAAUGUGAUGAAGAGGGAGUGACGGUAAUGGGUAAAGAAGCAACGGCUAACUACGUG